rnacentral:rRNA from 2 species
CGAUGAAACUUUAACAGAACCCUUCGGGGCGAAGAUAAAGUGGAUUAGCGGCGGACGGGUGAGUAACACGUGAGUAACCUGCCUUAGACAUUGGGAUAGCCUCGGGAAACCGGGAUUAAUACCAAAUAAAAUCAUAAUGACACAUGUCAUAACGAUCAAAACUCCGGUGGUCUAAGAUGGACUCGCGUCCCAUUAGCUAGUUGGUAGAGUAAAAGCCUACCAAGGCGACGAUGGGUAGCCGGCCUGAGAGGGUGAACGGCCACAUUGGAACUGAGAAACGGUCCAAACUUCUACGGGAGGCAGCAGUGGGGAAUAUUGCACAAUGGAGGGAACUCUGAUGCAGCGACGCCGCGUGAACGAAGAAGGCUUUCGAGUCGUAAAGUUCUUUUAUAUGGGAAGAUAAUGACGGUACCAUAAGAAAAAGCCCCGGCUAACUACGUGCCAGCAGCCGCGGUAAUACGUAGGGGGCUAGCGUUGUCCGGAAUCACUGGGCGUAAAGGGUUCGCAGGCGGAAAUGCAAGUCAGAUGUAAAAGGCAGUAGCUUAACUACUGUAAGCAUUUGAAACUGCAUAUCUUGAGAAGAGUAGAGGUAAGUGGAUUCUUAGUGUAGCGGUGAAAUGCGUAGAUAUUAAAAAGAAUACCGGUGGCGAAGGCGACUUA